GAUGAACGCUGGCGGCGUGCCUAAUACAUGCAAGUCGAACGAACGGACGAGAAGCUUGCUUCUCUGAUGUUAGCGGCGGACGGGUGAGUAACACGUGGAUAACCUACCUAUCAGACUGGGAUAACUUCGGGAAACCGGCGCUAAUACCGGAUAAUAUUUUGAACCGCAUGGUUCAAAAGUAAAAGACGGUCUUGCUGUCACUUAUAGCUGGAUCCGCGCUGCAUUAGCUGGUUGGUAAGGUAACGGCUUACCAAGGCAACGAUGCAUAGCCGACCUGAGAGGGUGAUCGGCCACACGGGAACGGGGACACGGUCCAUACGCCUACGGGAGGCAGCAGUAUGGAAUCGUCCGCAAUGGGCGAAAGCCUUACGGAGCAACGCCGCGUGAGUGAUGAAGGUCUUCGGAUCGUAAAACUCUGUUAUGAGGGAAGAACAGAUGUGGAAGUAACUGUGCACAGCGUGACGGUACCUAAUCAGAAAGCCACGGCUAACUACGUG
rnacentral:rRNA from 1 species